rnacentral:rRNA from 1 species
ACCUGCGGAAGGAUCAUUACAGAGUUCAUGCCCUCACGGGUAGAUCUCCCACCCUUGCAUACAUACCUUUGUUGCCUUGGCGGGCCACGUCCGCGUGUCGGCUCCGGCUGGCUGCGCCCGCCAGAGGACCCAAACUCGUUUGUUUAGUGAUGUCUGAGUACUAUAUAAUAGUUAAAACUUUCAACAACGGAUCUCUUGGUUCUGGCAUCGAUGAAGAACGCAGCGAAAUGCGAUAAGUAAUGUGAAUUGCAGAAUUUAGUGAAUCAUCGAAUCUUUGAACGCACAUUGCGCCUCUUGGUAUUCCGAGGGGCAUGCCUGUCCGAGCGUCAUUAUGACCACUCAAGCCUGGCUUGGUGUUGGGGCUCGCGGUUCCGCGGCCCUUCAAAUCAGUGGCGGCGCCAUCCGGCUCUCAGCGUAGUAAUACUCCUCGCUACAGAGCCCGGGUGGAUGCUUGCCAGCAACCCCCAAUCUCACGGUUGACCUCGGAUCAGGUAGGGAUACCCGCUGAACUUAAGCAUAUCAAUAAGCGGAGGAAAAGAAACCAACAGGGAUUGCCUCAGUAACGGCGAGUGAAGCGGCAACAGCUCAAAUUUGAAAUCUGGCUCCCUCGGGGCCCGAGUUGUAAUUUGUAGAAGAUGCUUUGAGCGUGGCCCCGGUCUAAGUUCCUUGGAACAGGACGUCAUAGAGGGUGAGAAUCCCGUAUGUGACUGGGGUGCCUUCGUUCGUGUAAAGCUCUCUCGACGAGUCGAGUUGUUUGGGAAUGCAGCUCAAAAUGGGUGGUAAAUUUCAUCUAAAGCUAAAUAUUGGCCAGAGACCGAUAGCGCACAAGUAGAGUGAUCGAAAGAUGAAAAGCACUUUGGAAAGAGAGUUAAACAGUACGUGAAAUUGUUGAAAGGGAAGCGCUUGCAACCAGACUUGCACGCUGUUGAUCAUCCGAGGUUUUCCCCGGUGCACUCGGCAGCGUUCAGGCCAGCAUCGGUCUUGGUGGGCGGAUAAAGGCCUUGGGAAUGUAGCUUCUCUCGGGAGUGUUAUAGCCCUCGGUGCAAUGCGCCCUACCGGGAUCGAGGACCGCGCUUCGGCUAGGA